rnacentral:rRNA from 1 species
UACGUAGGGUGCAAGCGUUGUCCGGAAUUAUUGGGCGUAAAGAGCUCGUAGGCGGUUCGUCGCGUCGGCUGUGAAAACCUGAGGCUCAACCUCAGGCCUGCAGUCGAUACGGGCGGACUUGAGUACUGCAGGGGAGACUGGAAUUCCUGGUGUAGCGGUGAAAUGCGCUGAUAUCAGGAGGAACACCGGUGGCGAAGGCGGGUCUCUGGGCAGUAACUGACGCUGAGGAGCGAAAGCGUGGGGAGCGAACAGG